CGAAAGGGAACCCUCGCUCUUAAAACAGUCCAUCCACGAUUAUAAAACACACACUCCUUAACACGAAUCCUUCGCAAAGAAUAUAAAACCACAAUAUCUACAGAUAAGUUUGUUGCUGAUCACAACAAAUUCUCAACGUCCUAAGCAAACUAAGCCAUCUCGUAGAGAUAGCUCUCGAACACCCAACACAAAGGUAAUAGCGCUAUAUAAAAAAUCUGAAAUUUUGGUCAGCACUUUCGGGAGACUUAAAAAUUGU
rnacentral:lncRNA from 1 species